rnacentral:rRNA from 1 species
GACGAACGCUGGCGGCGUGCUUAACACAUGCAAGUCGAACGGAAAGGCCCUGCUUGCAGGGUACUCGAGUGGCGAACGGGUGAGUAACACGUGGGUGAUCUGCCCUGCACUUCGGGAUAAGCUUGGGAAACUGGGUCUAAUACCGGAUAGGAACCAUCUUUAGUGUGGUGGUUGGAAAGUUUUUUCGGUGUAGGAUGAGCUCGCGGCCUAUCAGCUUGUUGGUGGGGUAAUGGCCUACCAAGGCGGCGACGGGUAGCCGGCCUGAGAGGGUGUACGGCCACAUUGGGACGGAGAGACGGCCCAGACUCGUACGGGAGGCAGCAGUGGGGAAUAUUGCACAAUGGGCGCAAGCCUGAUGCAGCGACGCCGCGUGGGGGAUGAAGGCCUUCGGGUUGUAAACUCCUUUCGCUAGGGACGAAGCUUUGUUGUGACGGUACCUAGAUAAGAAGCACCGGCUAACUACGUG